GACGAACGCUGGCGGCGUGCUUAACACAUGCAAGUCGAACGAUGAAGCUGGAGCUUGCUCCGGUGGAUUAGUGGCGAACGGGUGAGUAACACGUGAGCAAUCUGCCCUUGACUCUGGGAUAACUGCGGGAAACUGUAGCUAAUACCGGAUACGAGGCGCGAAGGCAUCUUCGGGUCUGGAAAGAAUUUCGGUCAAGGAUGAGCUCGCGGCCUAUCAGCUUGUUGGUGAGGUAAUGGCUCACCAAGGCGACGACGGGUAGCCGGCCUGAGAGGGUGACCGGCCACACUGGGACUAAGACACGGCCCAGACUCCUACGGGAGGCAGCAGUGGGGAAUAUUGCACAAUGGGCGAAAGCCUGAUGCAGCAACGCCGCGUGAGGGAUGAAGGCCUUCGGGUUGUAAACCUCUUUUAGCAGGGAAGAAGCGAAAGUGACGGUACCUGCAGAAAAAGCACCGGCUAACUACGUGCCAGCAGCCGCGGUAA
rnacentral:rRNA from 1 species